UUGAGCCGUAUGCGGGGAAACUCGCACGUACGGUUCUUAGGGGGGAGGGCUCAUGCAAAUGAGCCCUCCCACCCGAC
rnacentral:ncRNA from 1 species